rnacentral:lncRNA from 1 species
AGUAAUUAACCUCCGGCAAAAUCCGGAAAGAAAAUAAUGGAUCGAAUCGAUUCCCAACUUAGUUUGCUCGGACCAGCCGGAAAGCUUCCCCGCGAAUUAUGUUGGAUUUCCGACCAAGCAUCACUGCUGGAAAAGAAAGCAUUUACGGCAAUUUAUGUUCCAUUUAUGCCUGUAGAUUACUGCCAUCACCUCAGGAUCUCCAACUCAGACAUUCUUAGCUACCUGUAUUCACUACUUUCCUCGAUCAUUUCACGUACCGAUGAUAUCUUUGACACCCCUCUCUCCCUCUCUCUCUCUCUCUCUCUCUCUCUCUCUCUACACACAUAAUAUAUAUACAUAUAUAUAAUUCCAACCCCUCCAUUCCGUAAUGGUAGACGACGAAGUUUGCAUGGUUUUGGCCUUACUGCUCGAUCACGCUGCUUCUUUUGAG